rnacentral:rRNA from 1 species
AACGCUGGCGGCGUGCCUAAUACAUGCAAAGUCAACGGGCUUUUCUAUGGAAGCUUGCUUCCACUGAGAAGAUAGUGGGCGAAACGGGUGAGUAACACGUGGGGUAACCCUGCCCAUAAGAGGGGGGAUAACAUCCGGAAACGGGUGCUAAUACCGCAUAGUUUUCUUGAUCGCAUGAUCGGGAAAGGAAAGACGGCCUUUGUGCUGUCGCUUAUGGAUGGACCCGCGGCGUAUUAGUUAGUUGGUGAGGUAACGGCUCACCAAGACGAUGAUACGUAGCCGACCUGAGAGGGUGAUCGGCCACAUUGGGACUGAGACACGGCCCAAACUCCUACGGGAGGCAGCAGCUAAGAAUCUUCCGCAAUGGGCGAAAGCCUGACGGAGCCGACGCCGCGUGAACGAAGAAGGCCGUGAGGUUGUAAAGUUCUUUUCGGGAGGGGGAACAACCGUGGCAGGGAAUGGCCGCGGGAUGACGUGAAUCCCGGAAUAAGCCCCGGCUAACUACGUGCCAGCCGCCGC